AAACAAAAUGCCGUAAGUUCUCUUUCAGAAUGUGAGCAACAAGGCUACUUGAUUGUCAGUAUUCUCAAGAAACUCUGCUUUGCAUGGCAAUCUAAAGGUAGAAUGGCGCAAAAGUGUCGCUGCUUUAACAUCAUUUGCAUCGCGCUGCUUUUAACAAUGAGUCUGAGCCGAUGCGCUGGCCGUUCUCUGAACAGAAUGAUUCGCAGUGUCGGCCAGCCAUGCCAUGCAAGAGCACCGUGCAUAAAUUGGGCGUGCUGUCGAAAAUAUGGCCGUGAAUCAGCGUGUUACCCUAGAGCCCGAAGAGGAAAUCGCUGCUCAAUUGUUCACUUCAAUGGAACAUACCACAAGCAUUGCCCGUGUGCGCCUGGGCAUGGCAGGUGUUCUUUUGGAUCAUGCAAACUAGAAAAUACCAACAGACACUCUUAUCACCCGAGAUUGUAGUUCUUGUCAGUAG